GGAGAGUUGACAGAGCGGUCGAAUGUACCGGUCUUGAAAACCGGAGGGCCCUCACGGGUCCCGGGGGUUCGAAUCCUCCACUCUCCG
rnacentral:tRNA from 1 species